CUUGCUUCUCUUGAGAGCGGCGGACGGGUGAGUAAUGCCUAGGAAUCUGCCUGGUAGUGGGGGAUAACGUUCGGAAACGGACGCUAAUACCGCAUACGUCCUACGGGAGAAAGCAGGGGACCUUCGGGCCUUGCGCUAUCAGAUGAGCCUAGGUCGGAUUAGCUAGUUGGUGGGGUAAUGGCUCACCAAGGCGACGAUCCGUAACUGGUCUGAGAGGAUGAUCAGUCACACUGGAACUGAGACACGGUCCAGACUCCUACGGGAGGCAGCAGUGGGGAAUAUUGGACAAUGGGCGAAAGCCUGAUCCAGCCAUGCCGCGUGUGUGAAGAAGGUCUUCGGAUUGUAAAGCACUUUAAGUUGGGAGGAAGGGUUGUAGAUUAAUACUCUGCAAUUUUGACGUUACCGACAGAAUAAGCACCGGCUAACUCUGUGCCAGCAGCCGCGGUAAUACAGAGGGUGCAAGCGUUAAUCGGAAUUACUGGGCGUAAAGCGCGCGUAGGUGGUUUGUUAAGUUGGAUGUGAAAUCCCCGGGCUCAACCUGGGAACUGCAUUCAAAACUGACUGACUAGAGUAUGGUAGAGGGUGGUGGAAUUUCCUGUGUAGCGGUGAAAUGCGUAGAUAUA
rnacentral:rRNA from 1 species